GACGAACGCUGGCGGCGCGCCUAACACAUGCAAGUCGAACGGAGUUAACUGAACUGAAGUUUUCGGAUGGAUUUUUGGUUAACUUAGUGGCGAACGGGUGAGUAACGCGUGGGUAACCUGCCUUUCAGAGGGGGACAACAGUUGGAAACGACUGCUAAUACCGCAUAAGACCACGGUACCGCAUGGUACAGUGAUCAAAGGAGAAAUCCGCUGAAAGAUGGGCCCGCGUCUGAUUAGAUAGUUGGUGGGGUAACGGCCUACCAAGUCGACGAUCAGUAGCCGACCUGAGAGGGUGACCGGCCACAUUGGGACUGAGACACGGCUCAA
rnacentral:rRNA from 1 species